AAAGGUUUGGUCCUAGCCUUUCCAUUAGUUAUUAAUAAAAUUACACAUGCAAGAAUCCACACCCCAGUGAAAAUGCCCUCUAUACCAAUGAUGGUUUAAAGGAGCCGGUAUCAAGCACGCUAAUAGCAGCUCAAGACACCUUGCCCAGCCACACCCCCACGGGAGACAGCAGUGAUAGAAAUUAAGCAAUAGACGAAAGUCUGACUAAGUUAUAUUAUCGAGGACUGGUAAAUCUCGUGCCAGCCACCGCGGUCAUACGACUAGGCCAAAUUAAUGGACAUUCGGCGUAAAGAGUGUUUUAGAUAAAUAAAAUAUAAUAAAGUUAAACCUUAACUAAACUGUAAAAAGCCUUAGUUAUUGUAAAACAUGUCACGAAAGUAACUUUAAUAAAUCUGACUACACUAUAGCUAAGACCCAAACUGGGAUUAGAUACCCCACUAUGCUUAGCCCUAAACAUAAAAAAUUCAUAAACAAAAUUAUUCGCCAGAGUACUACCAGCAAAAGCUAGAAACUCAAAGGACUUGGCGGUGCCUUAUAUCCUUCUAGAGGAGCCUGUUCUAUAAUCGAUAAACCCCGAUCUACCUCACCAAUCUUUGCCAAGUCAGCCUAUAUACCGCCAUCCUCAGCAAACCCUAAAAAGGAGGAACAGUAAGCAAAAUUAUUAACAUAAAAACGUUAGGUCAAGGUGUAGCCCAUAGAUUGGAAAGAAAUGGGCUACAUUCCCCAACCUGGGGUACUAGUCAUCUAACGAAAACUCAUGUGAAAUCAAGAGUUAAAGGUGGAUUUAGCAGUAAAUUAAGAAUAGAGCGCUUAAUUGAAUAAGGCCAUGAGGCACGCACACACCGCCCGUCACCCUCCUCAAAUAAAAUAAUACUUAUUAAAUAAAGACAAAGAACAACAACAAGUUAUAAGAGGAGAUAAGUCGUAACAAGGUAAGUGUACUGGAAAGUGCACUUGGAAAACA
rnacentral:ncRNA from 1 species